rnacentral:tRNA from 1 species
GCCACCCUAGCUCAGACGGUAGAGCACCCGGUUCGUACCCGGAAGGUUGCCGGUUCAAAUCCGGCGGGUGGCUCCA